UACGUAGGCAGCGAGCGUUGUUCGGAGUUACUGGGCGUAAAGAGCGCGCAGGCGGUCGUUCAAGUCGAGUGUGAAAGCCCCCCGGCUCAACUGGGGAGGGUCACUCGAUACUGAUCGACUCGAAGGCAGGAGAGGGUAGUGGAAUUCCCGGUGUAGUGGUGAAAUGCGUAGAUAUCGGGAGGAACACCAGUGGCGAAGGCGACUACCUGGCCUGUUCUUGACGCUGAGGCGCGAAAGCUAGGGGAGCAAACGGG
rnacentral:rRNA from 1 species